GGCCGGACGCGGGAGCCCGGACCGCCGGGUCUGAGGGAGGAGGCCUGGGGGCGCGGACUUCCGGCUCUGAGGGAGGAGCUGGGGGGCUGAGCCACGGCUCUGAGGGAGGAGGAGCUGGGACACUGAACUCCAGUUCCGUUUUUAUCGGCAGAAAUGAGGCUCUCCAGUCAUAGCCAGGUAAUAGGAGUCCUUAUUGCAGGUAACUGCGGGAGGACUCACGGUUCUCAGAGACCCUGCAGCCCUGAGUGUAGGGAGAAGGGACCUUAUGAAGACAAAACUCACAUUCUUUUCCGCGUUGAUAUGGUUUUGCCAUGAAGCACCUGUGCUCACCAGACACAGAGAGGGAAAGGCACAUGCGUUGGCGAAGAAACAGAGUGAUGGAGUGAGAGAAAAUGAGAAAUCACCCUACAGCAGGGAUGGCACACCUCAGUCCUUUUGAGGUCCCACCACAUUCCAGGAAGAAGAAAGUGGUUUUCAUGCCCCAAAGCUUCUAUCUAGACAAAGAAUCUCCUGAUUUGGUACC